ACUAUUAUAAUUUAUAUAAAAUAUUGAUUUUGUAAUUCAAAAAAAAAGAAAUUUUAAUAGUA
rnacentral:tRNA from 1 species